rnacentral:rRNA from 1 species
UACAGAGGGUGCGAGCGUUAAUCGGAAUUACUGGGCGUAAAGCGUGCGUAGACGGUAGCGUAAGUCAGAUGUGAAAGCCCCGGGCUCAACCUGGGAAUUGCAUUUGAGACUGCUCUGCUCGGGUGCGGAAGAGGGAAGCGGAAUUUCCGGUGUAGCGGUGAAAUGCGUAGAUAUCGGAAGGAACCCCAGGUGCGGAAGCCGCUUCCUGGUCCGACACCGACGUUCAGGCACGAAAGCGUGGGGAGCAAACAGG